CCCUAACGUGCUAAGAGUGAUUGUGUGAUGAUGUUUGCCUUGUUUAUUGGACUGUACCUGUGGGUGUUUCUGGUGACAUCUUAAGUGAAGCUAUCAGCCAAGUGACUAGGUUCCCAAAUCCUACUGUCAAAAGGAAUUAGGUACCUACCUCCUUCAAACUCCUGUGAAAAUCCUGGGAUUAGUCGUUUGCGUAUAAGUCUUGAAUAUAAACAUUUACAGAACCAUGAUGUUAGCAUUCUUCAUGAGUUUCAUUGCUGUAUUAGUUUUCUCAAGGUAUAACUCCAUCCUCACGGUGGUCUGUCUUGUGCUAAUGCUUCUGAAGAAUGUUACAGAGGUGCAAGUGAUGUGGUUUGGCCUUCAGCAUUUUCUAUACUGUAGAAGAGAUGAUAGAGGUAUCUAUAUCGUACAUCUUACUGCACUUUGAAGGAUAACAAGAGAAACUUGUGUAUAUUUCAGGGACUGGCACAUUUUCAGGGGGUGAGUGGGAAAUGAAAAAAGAGAAAAAAGGAAAUAUGUUUAUCUGUGAACUAAGGAGAAGUCUUCUGGAUACACUGAAGUACAGUAAACACAAUAGUUCAAAAGGCACUUUAGGCACUUAGAUCAAAAGGUGUACCUCAAAAUACACUACAGGUUUAAGUGUCAUGAAAAAUUCAAUAUAAGAAUAAAGAAAAAGACCAGAAUAAUUGAAAAAGUUUCGUUUGAUUAGAACUAGAAAAGUCAAGUGACCUAAAGAAGAGCUUUGCUGUCACUGGACUUUUCACCUGCUCUUCACAAUGCAGUAAGCUCAGCUAACAGGAUGUUAUGGAUAACCUGUAUAUAAAGUUUCUUCUUGACAUCCAUUAGCACCCAGCCCAAAGCUUACAGUAGUCAAUGGGAAGUCUUACAUUAAUUUUCAUGGGCCAUAAUCCACUCAUAUAUAGGACUGGGCUUUUUAUAAGCAGUGUUGUUUACUGUUUUAGAUGUUCUAGUCCACAGAAAUGUUCAACCUUUUCCUGAAGCCUGUUAAGCUAAGUUGUAUCUACCUGGUGAUAACACUUUGCUUAAAAGAACAGAGUUACAGAACAUUGCUAUAUCAUCUUUGAUCUCUGAAAUUGAACUGACAGCCUCUUGACGAUAAUCACACUCAUGAGAUUUCUGAUACUCUUAGCCUAUUACCUGGAUGGGAGAAACUGCAGUUUGUUUUCUUGUCCAUCUCUGCAAGGAUUUAGCUGUGGUACCCCUUCAUCUGGC
ensembl:lncRNA